rnacentral:rRNA from 1 species
UAAAUCGCGUUAUAGCCUUCCAACAUUACAUCACAAAAUACCUCUCACCCUCCCUAACCCUUUAUUCCUAUUGAAUGAUUCCAUAAUUUUAUGGAAGACAUCAUGCUUGAACAAGUAAUAAGAAUAUGAAAUUCUCCUAAAUACAAGCAUAAGCCGUAAUAGACACACUAACGGCAAUUAUACGUCUAUGAUUUUAAUGCAGUAACUCCUCUAGAAAAACUUGUAAACUAUGACGUUACCCUAACACAAGAGUAUUUCAGGAAAGAUUAAAAGGAAGAGAAGGAACUCGGCAAACCUCAACCCCGCCUGUUUACCAAAAACAUCGCCUCUUGUUUAAACAUAAGAGGUCCAGCCUGCCCAGUGAUCAUUAAACGGCCGCGGUACCCUAACCGUGCUAAGGUAGCACAAUUACUUGUCCUUUAAAUGGGGACUAGAAUGAAUGACAUCACGAGGGUUGUACUGUCUCCUCUCCCCAAUCAAUGAAACUGACCUCCCCGUGAAAAGGCGGGGAUUUAUAUAUUAGACGAGAAGACCCCAUGGAGCUUUAGACACCGAGCACACUUAGACACUCUCCCCCUAGUCCAAGCCCCUGUCUCUACGUCUUAGGUUGGGGCGACCAUGGAGCAUAAGUUAACCUCCAUACCGAAAGGACCACUCCUUAUUUAAGAGAUACAUCUCUAAAAAACAGCAUACUGACGCCUUCUGAUCCGGAACCCGAUCAAUGAAUCAAGUUACCCUGGGGAUAACAGCGCUAUCCACCUUGAGAGUUCAUAUCGACAGGUGGGUUUACGACCUCGAUGUUGGAUCAGGGCUACCUAGUGGUGCAGCCGCUACACAAGGUUCGUUUGU